GGACGUGAGAGUAAUCUGGCUGCAGCAUCUGUCACCCCAUUGAUUGCCAGGGUUGAUUCGGCUGCUCUGGCUGGCUAGGCAGGCGUCCCCUUCCUCCCUCACUGCUCCAUGUGUGUCCCUCCUGAAUGCUCAGCCAAAGAGGAUGGCCUUCCCUGUAUAGAGGAGGACUGGUCUUCGGCCAAGGGGAGCUGCACUCCCCUGCUAGAACCUCCAAACAAGCUCUCAAGAAAUAAAGUUGUUGUUUGGAUAGUUUGGCUUGGGAGGCUCUGUGCCAACCA
ensembl:misc_RNA Gm22344 predicted gene, 22344